rnacentral:rRNA from 1 species
GUGGGGAAUAUUGCACAAUGGGCGCAAGCCUGAUGCAGCCAUGCCGCGUGUAUGAAGAAGGCCUUCGGGUUGUAAAGUACUUUCAGCGAGGAGGAAGGCGUUGUGGUUAAUAACCGCAGCGAUUGACGUUACUCGCAGAAGAAGCACCGGCUAACUCCGUGCCAGCAGCCGCGGUAAUACGGAGGGUGCAAGCGUUAAUCGGAAUUACUGGGCGUAAAGCGCACGCAGGCGGUUUGUUAAGUCAGAUGUGAAAUCCCCGGGCUCAACCUGGGAACUGCAUUUGAAACUGGCAAGCUUGAGUCUCGUAGAGGGGGGUAGAAUUCCAGGUGUAGCGGUGAAAUGCGUAGAGAUCUGGAGGAAUACCGGUGGCGAAGGCGGCCCCCUGGACGAAGACUGACGCUCAGGUGCGAAAGCGUGGGGAGCAAACAGGAUUAGAUACCCUAGUAGUCC